rnacentral:rRNA from 1 species
GGAAUAUUGGACAAUGGGCGCAAGCCUGAUCCAGCCAUACCGCGUGGGUGAAGAAGGCCUUCGGGUUGUAAAGCCCUUUUGUUGGGAAAGAAAAGCAGUCGAUUAAUACUCGGUUGUUCUGACGGUACCCAAAGAAUAAGCACCGGCUAACUUCGUGCCAGCAGCCGCGGUAAUACGAAGGGUGCAAGCGUUACUCGGAAUUACUGGGCGUAAAGCGUGCGUAGGUGGUUGUUUAAGUCUGUUGUGAAAGCCCUGGGCUCAACCUGGGAACUGCAGUGGAAACUGGAUGACUAGAGUGUGGUAGAGGGUAGCGGAAUUCCCGGUGUAGCAGUGAAAUGCGUAGAGAUCGGGAGGAACAUCCAUGGCGAAGGCAGCUACCUGGACCAACACUGACACUGAGGCACGAAAGCGUGGGGAGCAAACAGGAUUAGAUACCCUGG